rnacentral:rRNA from 1 species
UCGAGGAUCUUUAGCAAUGCCCGAAAGGGUGACUAUGCGACGCCGCGUGCAGGAUGAAGGCCUUCGGGUUGUAAACUGCUGUCAGGGAGGGAGAAACCUUGCGUGUAAAUAGCACGUAAGCUGACAUCACUCCCAAAGGAAGCCACGGCUAACUCUGUGCCAGCAGCCGCGGUAAGACAGAGGUGGCAAGCGUUGUUCGGAUUUAUUGGGUGUAAAGGGCAGGUAGGUGGCCUGGCAAGUCCGAUGUGAAAUCCCACGGCUCAACCGUGGAACUGCAUUGGAAACUGCUUGGCUUGAGUACCAGAGAGGUGAGGGGAAUUCUCGGUGUAAGGGUGAAAUCUGUAGAUAUCGAGAGGAACACCAGAGGCGAAGGCGCCUCACUGGCUGGUAACUGACACUGAGCUGCGAAAGCAAGGGGAGCAAACA